AUUGAACGCUGGCGGCAUGCCUUACACAUGCAAGUCGAACGGUAACAGGUCUUCGGAUGCUGACGAGUGGCGAACGGGUGAGUAAUACAUCGGAACGUGCCUAGUAGUGGGGGAUAACUACUCGAAAGAGUGGCUAAUACCGCAUGAGAUCUACGGAUGAAAGCAGGGGAUCGCAAGACCUUGUGCUACUAGAGCGGCCGAUGGCAGAUUAGGUAGUUGGUGGGAUAAAAGCUUACCAAGCCGACGAUCUGUAGCUGGUCUGAGAGGACGAUCGGCCACACUGGGACUGAGACACGGCCCAGACUCCUACGGGAGGCAGCAGUGGGGAAUUUUGGACAAUGGGCGCAAGCCUGAUCCAGCAAUGCCGCGUGCAGGAUGAAGGCCUUCGGGUUGUAAACUGCUUUUGUACGGAACGAAAAGCCCUGGGUUAAUACCCUGGGGUCAUGACGGUACCGUAAGAAUAAGCACCGGCUAACUACGUGCCAGCAGCCGCUGUAAGAC
rnacentral:rRNA from 1 species